AUACGGAGGGUGCAAGCGUUAAUCGGAAUUACUGGGCGUAAAGAGUGCGUAGGCGGUUUGUUAAGUCUGCUGUGAAAUCCCCGGGCUCAACCUGGGAAUGGCAGUGGAUACUGGCAAGCUAGAGUGUGUCAGAGGGUGGUGGAAUUCCCGGUGUAGCGGUGAAAUGCGUAGAGAUCGGGAGGAACACCAGUGGCGAAGGCGACUAUCUGGAUAGAUACUGACACUGAGACACGAAAGCGUGGGGAGC
rnacentral:rRNA from 1 species